ACUUAGCUUUCUUUAGAAG
rnacentral:snRNA from 1 species